UACGUAGGGGGCUAGCGUUGUCCGGAUUUAUUGGGCGUAAAGGGCUCGUAGGUGGCCAACUAAGUCAUACGUGAAAUCCCUCGGCUUAACCGGGGAACUGCGUCUGAUACUGGAUGGCUUGAGGUUGGGAGAGGGAUGCGGAAUUCCAGGUGUAGCGGUGAAAUGCGUAGAUAUCUGGAGGAACACCGGUGGCGAAGGCGGCAUCCUGGACCAAUUCUGACACUGAGGAGCGAAAGCCAGGGGAGCAAACGGG
rnacentral:rRNA from 1 species